CGAGAAGGAGAGAGUUUGCUCAGCUGUUGGGAUGACAAUGGCAGGCAGCGGGCAGGACCUCAAGCUGGAGAAUGGCUCGGGAUUUUAGGACUGAACCAUUGUUCCUGGCUACUUGCUGUUAGUUAAACUGCGCGAGAACAUAUCCAUAGGAGGAGUUCCUACCUUGAGAAUGAGCUCUGAACCCUGUUCUUUGCACAGCCAGCACCUGUGAGCUCCUCAUUCCUCGGACUUUGCUUCGAAAAGAGGUGAUA